UACAGAGGUCUCAAGCGUUGUUCGGAUUCAUUGGGCGUAAAGGGUGCGUAGGUGGCGCUGUAAGUCAGGUGUGAAAUUUCGGAGCUUAACUCCGAAACUGCAUUUGAUACUGCGGUGCUUGAGGACUGGAGAGGAGACUGGAAUUUACGGUGUAGCAGUGAAAUGCGUAGAGAUCGUAAGGAAGACCAGUGGCGAAGGCGGGUCUCUGGACAGUUCCUGACACUGAGGCACGAAAGCGUGGGGAGCAAACAGG
rnacentral:rRNA from 1 species